CGUAGGGGCAAGCGUUGUCCGGAAUCAUUGGGCGUAAAGCGCGUGUAGGCGGUUCGGUAAGUCUGCUGUGAAAGUCCAGGGCUCAACCCUGGGAUGCCGGUGGAUACUGUCGGGCUAGAGUGCGGAAGAGGCGAGUGGAAUUCCCGGUGUAGCGGUGAAAUGCGCAGAUAUCGGGAGGAACACCAAUUGCGAAGGCAGCUCGCUGGGACGUAACUGACGCUGAGACGCGAAAGCGUGGGGGAGCAAACAGGAUU
rnacentral:rRNA from 1 species